GAUGAACGCUAGCUACAGGCUUAACACAUGCAAGUCGAGGGGCAGCAUUUUAGUUUGCUUGCAAACUGAAGAUGGCGACCGGCGCACGGGUGAGUAACACGUAUCCAACCUGCCGAUAACUCCGGAAUAGCCUUUCGAAAGAAAGAUUAAUACCGGAUAGCAUACGAAUAUCGCAUGAUAUUUUUAUUAAAGAAUUUCGGUUAUCGAUGGGGAUGCGUUUCAUUAGUUUGUUGGCGGGGUAACGGCCCACCAAGACAACGAUGGAUAGGGGUUCUGAGAGGAAGGUCCCCCACAUUGGAACUGAGACACGGUCCAAACUCCUACGGGAGGCAGCAGUGAGGAAUAUUGGUCAAUGGGCGAGAGCCUGAACCAGCCAAGUAGCGUGAAGGAUGAAGGCUCUAUGGGUCGUAAACUUCUUUUAUAUGGGAAUAAAGUUUUCCACGUGUGGAAUUUUGUAUGUACCAUAUGAAUAAGGAUCGGCUAACUCCGUGCCAGCAGCCGCGGUAAUACGGAGGAUCCGAGCGUUAUCCGGAUUUAUUGGGUUUAAAGGGAGCGUAGGUGGAUUGUUAAGUCAGUUGUGAAAGUUUGCGGCUCAACCGUAAAAUUGCAGUUGAAACUGGCAGUCUUGAGUACAGUAGAGGUGGGCGGAAUUCGUGGUGUAGCGGUGAAAUGCUUAGAUAUCACGAAGAACUCCGAUUGCGAAGGCAGCUCACUAGACUGUCACUGACACUGAUGCUCGAAAGUGUGGGUAUCAAACAGGAUUAGAUACCCUGGUAGUCCACACAGUAAACGAUGAAUACUCGCUGUUUGCGAUAUACAGUAAGCGGCCAAGCGAAAGCAUUAAGUAUUCCACCUGGGGAGUACGCCGGCAACGGUGAAACUCAAAGGAAUUGACGGGGGCCCGCACAAGCGGAGGAACAUGUGGUUUAAUUCGAUGAUACGCGAGGAACCUUACCCGGGCUUAAAUUGCAACAGAAUAUAUUGGAAACAGUAUAGCCGUAAGGCUGUUGUGAAGGUGCUGCAUGGUUGUCGUCAGCUCGUGCCGUGAGGUGUCGGCUUAAGUGCCAUAACGAGCGCAACCCUUAUCUUUAGUUACUAACAGGUGAUGCUGAGGACUCUAGAGAGACUGCCGUCGUAAGAUGUGAGGAAGGUGGGGAUGACGUCAAAUCAGCACGGCCCUUACGUCCGGGGCUACACACGUGUUACAAUGGGGGGUACAGAAGGCGGCUACCUGGUGACAGGAUGCUAAUCCCAAAAACCUCUCUCAGUUCGGAUCGAAGUCUGCAACCCGACUUCGUGAAGCUGGAUUCGCUAGUAAUCGCGCAUCAGCCAUGGCGCGGUGAAUACGUUCCCGGGCCUUGUACACACCGCCCGUCAAGCCAUGAAAGCCGGGGGUACCUGAAGUACGUAACCGCAAGGAGCGUCCUAGGGUAAAACUGGUAAUUGGGGCUAAGUCGUA
rnacentral:rRNA from 1 species